GGCUGAAGCAAGAAUGUAGGACAGAGAUUCUUCGUGAAAGCCAUACCCUACACGAGCUUCUACACUGGAGGUACGAGGCUCUUUUACUUCUUGCACGCUCCAUUGAGGCAGAUCCAAGCACAGUUAUCCUGUGGGUGUUUUAUCUUCAUAUUUACUAUCAAAAGGAUGAAGUAUUUACUAUCAAAAGGAUGAAGGACUUGGAACAUUUUCCUGCUCAAUGAGGAAGAGGGCUUGGCGUCGGGGACGGGAACCUGACUGCGGCGUCGGAUGCAUGGCGCAGCUGGCGCAGCUUCCUCUGGCCGCACGAGGAGGCAUCUGGCCGCGCAACUUUCUUCCUCGGUGGCAGAUGAACCCUGUUGUGUAUUUUAUCUAAUGGUUUCAAACCAUGUUUGAACACUGUUGGUCAUGGAAGUUAGAUGCAUGGAUUGUGAAUCCUUGAAUGUUUCAAAAUGUUGGUUUCAAACCUAGAUUGCUUGGAAAUAUUGGUUUUAAACA